GUAGUCCUAGCCCUAAACGAUGGGUACUAGAUAGUAGACUAGACAUGGGUUUACUGUCGAAGCUAAAGUGCUAAGUACCCCGCCUGGGGAGUAUGGUCGCAAGGCUGAAACUCAAAGAAAUUGACGGGGGCUCACACAAGCGGUGGAGCAUGUGGCUUAAUUCGAGGCUACGCGAAGAACCUUAUCCUGGACUUGACAUGUGCGAAAGCGUUAGGUAGUAGGACCCGGAAACGGGAACGAACCAGCAAUGGGAGCCUAAUACAGGUGCUGCAUGGCUGUCGUCAGCUCGUGUCGUGAGAUGUCGGGUUAAGUCCCAUAACGAGCGAAACCCUUACCUCUAGUUGCAACCGCAAGGGCACUCUAGAGGGACUGCCGGUGUUAAACCGGA
rnacentral:rRNA from 1 species